UUAAAGUAGUAAGGGCGCAGGGUGGAUGCCUUGGCACUAAGAGCCGAUGAAAGACGUGAUAAGCUGCGAAAAGCUUCGGGGAGGAGCACAUAUCCAAUGAUCCGGAGAUAUCUGAAUGGGGAAACCCGGCAGAGGAAACCUCUGUCAGCGUGCAGUGAAUACAUAGCUGUACGUGGGGAACCCGGGGAACUGAAACAUCUAAGUACCCGGAGGAAGAGAAAGAAAAUUUAUCGAUUUCCAAAGUAGCGGCGAGCGAAAUGGAAAGAGCCCAAACCGUGAUGCGUGCAUCGCGGGGUUCGGACUGCGUUGUGGCAGACGUAAGAUAGGAGAACGGACUGGGAAGUCCGGCCGGAGAGAGUGAAAGCCUCGUAUCCGAAAUCCCAAGUCGCCUGGCAGGAUCCAGAGUAGGACGAGACACGAGAAACCUUGUCUGAACGAGCGGGGACCACCCCGUAAGGCUAAAUACUUCUUAGUGACCGAUAGCGCAUAGUACUGUGAAGGAAAGGUGAAAAGUACCCCGGGAGGGGAGUGAAAGAGAACCUGAAACCCUGUGUCUACAAGCUGUGGGACCUCUUUAUAUGAGGGACUGCGUACUUUUUGUAGAACGGUCCGGCGAGUUGUGCGUACUGGCGAGGUUAAGGACUUAAGGUCUGGAGCCGAAGUGAAAGCAAGCGUUAAUAGCGCGUCAAGUCAGUGAGUGCAGACCCGAAACCGGGUGACCUAUCCAUGUCCAGGUUGAAGCUUCCGUAAGAGGAAGUGGAGGACCGAACCCACAUCCGUUGAAAAGGGUGGGGAUGAGGUGUGGAUAGCGGAGAAAUUCCAAUCGAACCCGGAGAUAGCUGGUUCUCCUCGAAAUAGCUUUAGGGCUAGCCUCAUGAGAGUCUUAUGGAGGUAGAGCACUGAAUUGCCUAGGGGGCGUCAAAGCUUACCAAAGCAUAUCAAACUCCGAAUGCCAUCAAGAUGAUUCAUGGGAGUCAGACCAUACGAGAUAAGUUGGAUGGUCAAAAGGGAAAGAGCCCAGACCUACAGCUAAGGUCCCAAAGUACGUGUUAAGUGGAAAAGGAUGUGGGGAUUCUAAGACAACUAGGACGUUGGCUUAGAAGCAGCCAUUCAUUGAAAGAGUGCGUAAUAGCUCACUAGUCGAGAGUCCCUGCGCCGAAAAUGUCCGGGGCUGAAACACGACACCGAAGCUUAGGAAUGUGUAAACAUUGGUAGAGGAGCAUUGCUGGCGGGAUGAAGCCAUACCGUAAGGAGUGGUGGACUGCCAGGAAGAGAGAAUGCCGGAAUGAGUAGCGAGAUGAAGGUGAGAAUCCUUCAGGCCGAAUAUCUAAGGUUUCCAGAGUAAAGCUGAUCUGCUCUGGGUAAGUCGGGACCUAAGGCGAGGUCGAAAGACGUAGUCGAUGGAUAACAGGUUGAAAUUCCUGUACCGCAUAUAAACAGAACUGUGGGGACACAGACAGGGAAUGGAAUCCGGGAAUGGAUAUCCCGGUGCAAGCGAGGUAGGAGUGCUGUUGGCAAAUCCGCAGCACGAUCUGAAGACGUGACGCGUACCGAACAUAAGUAGGGAAGUCCAGGCCCCUGGCUGUCAAGAAAAGCCGCUAUUGUUUUAUAUGUGCCCGUACCGCAAACCGACACAGGUGGAUGAGGAGAGAAUCCUAAGGCCGACGGGAGAAGUAUUGUUAAGGAACUCGGCAAAAUGACUCCGUAACUUCGGGAGAAGGAGUGCCAUGAGAGUGGCCGCAGAGAAAUGGCCCAAGCAACUGUUUAGCAAAAACACAGGUCUAUGCAAAACCGCAAGGUGAAGUAUAUGGGCUGACGCCUGCCCGGUGCUGGAAGGUUAAGGGGAGAGGUUAGCGCAAGCGAAGCUUUGAACUUAAGCCCCAGUAAACGGCGGCCGUAACUAUAACGGUCCUAAGGUAGCGAAAUUCCUUGUCGGGUAAGUUCCGACCC
rnacentral:rRNA from 1 species